AUUGAACGCUGGCGGCAUGCUUUACACAUGCAAGUCGAACGGUAACAGGGAGCUUGCUCCGCUGACGAGUGGCGAACGGGUGAGUAAUGCAUCGGAACGUACCCAGUCGUGGGGGAUAACGUAGCGAAAGUUACGCUAAUACCGCAUACGUCCUGAGGGAGAAAGCGGGGGACCGAAAGGCCUCGCGCGAUUGGAGCGGCCGAUGUCGGAUUAGCUAGUUGGUGGGGUAAAGGCCUACCAAGGCGACGAUCCGUAGCGGGUCUGAGAGGAUGAUCCGCCACACUGGGACUGAGACACGGCCCAGACUCCUACGGGAGGCAGCAGUGGGGAAUUUUGGACAAUGGGGGCAACCCUGAUCCAGCCAUGCCGCGUGAGUGAAGAAGGCCUUCGGGUUGUAAAGCUCUUUCGGCCGGGAAAAAUACGCAUCAGUUAAUACCUGGUGUGGAUGAUGGUACCGGAAUAAGAAGCACCGGCUAACUACGUGCCAGCAGCCGCGGUAAGAGUACU
rnacentral:rRNA from 1 species